rfam:Daucus carota subsp. sativus cultivar DH1 chromosome 1, whole genome shotgun sequence.
CUGGAAUGAUGAUUCUUAGCCAAAUCAGACAUUGAUGUGCUCCAGAGGAAUGUCAUGAGACACCCUUCUGUAGAAGCGCAUCUAUGUGAUGAUAAAACAGAGAAAUGGUAGCUAGCUGACCAGA